rnacentral:rRNA from 1 species
AUUGAACGCUGGCGGCAGGCCUAACACAUGCAAGUCGAGCGAGCGGCGGACGGGUGCGUAAUGUAUGGGGACUGCCCGAUAGAGGGGGAUAACUACUGGAAACGGUGGCUAAUACCGCAUACUAUCGGAUAACCCAUAUUGGAUUAGCUAUGAGGUGGGGUAAAGGCUCACCUAGGCGACGAUCUCUAGCUGUUCUGAGAGGAUGAUUAGCAACACUGUGACUGAGACAAGGCCCAGCCACCUACGGAGGCAGCAGUGGGGAAUAUUGCACAAUGGGCGAAAGCCUGAUACAGCCAUGCCGCGUGGAUGAAGAAGGCCUUAGGGUUGUAAAGUACUUUCAGCGUGGAGGCGUUACCCGCAGAAGAAGCACCGGCUAACUCCGUGCCAGCAGCCGCGGUAAUUC